rnacentral:rRNA from 1 species
CCAAUAGCGUAUAUUAAAGUUGCUGCAGUUAAAAAGCUCGUAGUUGAAUUUCGGGACCAUCAUGUCGGUCGUGCCUCGGUACGUACUGGCAUUGUUGGUUUCUCCCUUCUGACGAACCAUGAUGUCAUUAAUUUGGUGUCAUGGGGAAUCAGGACUGUUACUUUGAAAAAAUUAGAGUGUUUAAAGCAGGCUCACGCUUGAAUACAUUAGCAUUGAAUAAUGAAAUAGGACGUUUGAUUCUAUUUUGUUGGUUUCUAGGAUCGACGUAAUGAUUAAUAGGGAUAGUUGGGGGCAUUAGUAUUCAAUUGUCAGAGGUGAAAUUCUUGGAUUUAUUGAAGACUAACUACUGCGAAAGCAUUUGCCAAGGAUGUUUUCAUUAAUCAAGAACGAAAGUUAGGGGAUCGAAGACGAUCAGAUACCGUCGUAGUCUUAACCAUAAACUAUGCCGACUAGGGAUCGGAUGAUGUUAAUUUUUUAAUGACUCAUUCGGCGCCUUACG